UCCCCGGUGGCUCAGAUGGUAAAGAGUCUGCCUGCAAUGCAGCAGACUUGGGUUCGAUUCCUGGGCUGGGAA
rnacentral:tRNA from 1 species